rnacentral:rRNA from 1 species
UACGUAGGGGGCGAGCGUUGUCCGGAGUUAUUGGGCGUAAAGCGUCCGCAGGCGGUGUGGGAAGUUCGAGGUGACAGUGCGCGGCUUCACUGCGCAAGGUCCUCGAAAACUGCCAGACUUGAGGGCUUCAGAGGGACCUGGAAUUCCGGGUGGAGUGGUGAAAUGCGUAGAGAUCCGGAGGAACACCGGUGGCGAAGGCGGCUUCCUGGACCGACACUGACGCUGAGGCGCGAAAGCUAGGGGAGCAAACGGG